CCCGCCCGCCCCGGCGGGUGAGCAGACAAGCCUCUCGGACUGAUUAUCACCUGGUUCUCCUGAAAGAGAAGGUGAUACAGCCCAGAGCCUUUGCUGAGAAAGAUGUGUUCAUCAGAGGGAAAAACACAGGACAGCUGUUGUGGAGAAGCUUUUGGGCAGUUAAUGGAACAGGCUAAAGAAAUUCCAUAAAAAGUUAUGUGAUUCAUGCAAAAGAAUGAAAUUGGACCCUUACCUAACACCAUACACAAAAAUUAACUCAAAAUGAAUCAAAGGCCUAAAUGUAAGAUCCACAGGUGUAAAACUCUUAGAAGAAAACAUAGAGCCAAAGUUUUACCACUUUGGGUUUGACAAUGAUUUCUUGGACAUGACACCGUAGGCACAGGAAACAAAAGA